rnacentral:rRNA from 1 species
AUUGAACGCUGGCGGCGUGCUUAACACAUGCAAGUCGAUCGGUAACAGGUGUAGCAAUACAUGCUGACGAGAGGCGGACGGGUGAGUAAUGCUUGGGAAUCUGCCUAUUAGUGGGGGACAACCCGGGGAAACUCGGGCUAAUACCGCAUACGCUCUACGGAGGAAAGCCGGGGACCGCAAGGCCUGGCGCUAAUAGAUGAGCCCAAGUCGGAUUAGCUAGUUGGUAGGGAACGGCCUACCAAGGCGACAAUCCGUAGCUGGUCUGAGAGGACGACCAGCCACACCGGAACUGAGACACGGUCCGGACUCCUACGGGAGGCAGCAGUGGGGAAUAUUGGACAAUGGGGGCAACCCUGAUCCAGCGACGCCGCGUGGGUGAAGAAGGCCUGCGGGUUGUAAAGCCCUUUCGGUGGGGAAGAAAAGUCUCGACCUAAUACGUCGGGACCUUGACGUAACCCACUAAAGAAGCACCGGCUAACUCUGUGCCAGCAGCCGCAGU